UUGAACGCUGGCGGCAUGCUUUACACAUGCAAGUCGAACGGCAGCGCGGGCUUCGGCCUGGCGGCGAGUGGCGAACGGGUGAGUAAUACAUCGGAACGUGCCCAGUAGUGGGGGAUAGCUCGGCGAAAGCCGGAUUAAUACCGCAUACGACCUGAGGGUGAAAGCGGGGGAUCUUCGGACCUCGCGCUAUUGGAGCGGCCGAUGGCAGAUUAGCUAGUUGGUGGGGUAAAGGCCUACCAAGGCGACGAUCUGUAGCUGGUCUGAGAGGACGACCAGCCACACUGGGACUGAGACACGGCCCAGACUCCUACGGGGGGCAGCAGUGGGGAAUUUUGGACAAUGGGCGAAAGCCUGAUCCAGCAAUGCCGCGUGUGUGAUGAAGGCCUUCGGGUUGUAAAGCACUUUUGGCGGGAACGAAAAGGACUGUGCCAAUACCACGGUUCGAUGACGGUACCCGCAGAAUAAGCACCGGCUAACUACGUG
rnacentral:rRNA from 1 species